rfam:Oryza sativa (indica cultivar-group) chromosome 2, whole genome shotgun sequence.
AAAAAAACAAAUUCUGAAUUUUCGUAUCCAAUAUUUGACUGUUCGUUUUAUAUGAAAUUUUUUUAUAAUUAGUAUUUUCAUUGUUGUUAGAUGAUAAAAAAUGAUUAAUAUCUUAUGCGUGACCUGUCUUUUUAUUUUUUUAUUCAAAUAUUUUUUCAAAUAACACGGACGGUCAAAUAAAGGACACGAAAACCCAGGAUGGGUUAAUU